GUCCGGGUGGCGGAAUUGGUAGACGCGCUGUCUUGAGGGGGCAGUGGCUUUUUAGCCGUGCGGGUUCGACUCCCGCCCCGGACACUA
rnacentral:tRNA from 1 species